UUUUUUUUUUUUACUUGUUGUUUUCUGAAAUUCAAAUUUGUUUGAUAAAUCUGGCAGCCCCUAUUUCCAAAGGAAGAAAGUCUCAGCUAGGGUAAUGCCAAAUAAGGGUUGAGAGGGCAGAGGAGAUUCUGAAUAGGCCACAGUAUUCUUCCCCUAGCACAGGAAAAACAAGACACACGUACCAAAUUAACUCACUAAGUAAUAAAGAAUAAAAGAACUGUUGCACUAGAUCUGACAAAUGCCCACAAAGGUCACAGAGCUCCUGGAGGACAUUUUCCCCAAGUUUAGCAAGUGAAAAGCUGAAAGCCAGAGCUCCAGGAGGCCGUUGUUCUAAGCCAGAGGUUCUCAACUGGGGACAAUUUUGACAAGGUCUCGAGAACAUCUAUCACAAUGGGGGAGCGGGUGGGAGUGGAACUGGCAUCAAGUGGGUGGAGGCUGGCAAUGCUGCCAAAUCUUCCGCAAUUCACAGGACAGCGCCCCACAUGAAGAGUGGCCUGGCCCCAAAUAUCAAUAGUGCUUGAGGCUGAGAAAUCCUACUCUCAGCUAAAGAGAGUCAGAGGAACCUAAAUUAGGCAGAGAGGAACCACACUAUAAGUCAUCACUGACAGCUGCGGUACCCCAGCAGCAGCUGGGUUGCAAGAUGAGAGUCGGGCUGACUCCACAGAGUUCCUCUACAACCAAAAUUCCUGUUCACACACCAUACCCCUCCUGAAGGUGCCCUCAUGAGCUGAGGCAAUGUGCAGAGGGCUGACGAGGGGGUAUCCAAGAAGUUCACCUCUGAGCACUCAUCUUUCUGUUGGAGCUACCCCCUCACACCCAUAUUGUCCUAGUUUGCUUAGCAACCACCGAGUAAUGUCCACCCACUCCCUGGCUCUGAGGUGUAGCCUUGAUGCAGGUCUGGAUUCUCACGGACCCUGUAAGAGAUGUGUUCUCUGGGCUCUGCUCCAAUCCCUUUCUCAGUAUUUCCUCAGUAGCUCUGGAAAGUUCUUACUCCAAACAGCCAGUUUUGUAUCUCCUGGUUGGGGGACCACACUCAGGUUUCCAGAACCACUUUUGCCUGUACAUGUGGAGCUCAUGAAGCACCUAGAAAUUUACAUUCCCUUCCCCACAAGGUAGCGAGGGUGAGCCUAAUGGGGACAGCAGUGCUGAGUAGGACCUACACUGACCCCAGUGUUCCCCCAUAGGGUCCAACUUAAGUCCUCUCUGAAGAGGACUUUGUGAAACCUUGAGUCCUUGUGGAGCCUAUUUCCCUUCUUCAUCUAACUUCCCUUACCAUUUUUUUCCUGAGUACUUCCUAUCAAUCAAUCCCUUUCAUAUUAAUCCUAGUCUCAGAGUCUGCAACUCAGGAAUGCAACCAAAGGCGAAACUCACCCACUGUCCUCAACAGAUCUGAGGGAUAAACAUGUGACCCAAAUGGGCUGUGGCAACCAUUUGCCAUGACUUACCAACAGCCAUCUGCACGUAUGUCCCCUCCUGCCCUGCCAGUAGAACCUGUGACGUAUUCAGGUGGCAAGCCAAGAACCCUUAUCUCAGAGAAAGCUCUCUUCCCUUAGCCUCAGAGUCUGAAUCAUGAUUGCUCCAGCUAGUCACAGUAACUCCAACGUUCUGUGCCAGUGACUGGUCUCAGAGUGGACAUGUGACCCACUUCUGGCCAACAGAAUAUAAAGAUAAAAAUAAAAAUCUUA
rnacentral:lncRNA from 1 species